rnacentral:piRNA from 1 species
UUCUUGCAUGUGGUUCCCUGAUGGU